CCAAAGAUGUGAGCCUACAGAGACUUCCAAUGGUAUACGGUAUAGGCCCAUAGAAAUAGUUGCCAUUUAGAUUGAAGUGGGUGAGAUUUGGAAAUGAGGAAAAGUCGAAAAGGGACAGUGUUCCGUCAAUUUGCAUAUUGGAGAGGUCUAUUUUGGAGACUGUUCUGGUUUUGGAGCAGGAAAUGGCAGUCCAGUUGCAGAGGCUGUUGAGGUUGGUGAGGGACCAUGAAUUGAGUAGCGAAGGUGGCGAUGAUAAUAAU